rnacentral:tRNA from 1 species
GAGGGUAGAGCUCAGUGGUAGAGCGCAUGCUUAGCAUGCACAAGGUCCUGGGUUCAAUUCCCAGUAUCUCCA